CUAUAGGCCCUUUUCAGGGCCAACAAAUAUGUACUAAAGAGUUAAUU
rfam:Aedes aegypti strain Liverpool supercont1.106 genomic scaffold, whole genome shotgun sequence.